rnacentral:rRNA from 1 species
UACGUAGGGUGUAAGCGUUAAUCGGAAUUACUGGGCGUAAAGCGUGCGCAGGCGGUGAUGUAAGACAGAUGUGAAAUCCCCGGGCUCAACUUGGGAACUGCAUUUGUGACUGCAUCGCUGGAGUGCGGCAGAGGGGGAUGGAAUUCCGCGUGUAGCAGUGAAAUGCGUAGAUAUGCGGAGGAACACCGAUGGCGAAGGCAAUCCCCUGGGCCUGCACUGACGCUCAUGCACGAAAGCGUGGGGAGCAAACAGG